GCCGGUAUCGUCUAAUGGCAGGACGGUUGGUUCUCAGCCAACAAAUCGGGGUUCGAUCCCCCGUACCGGUGCCA
rnacentral:tRNA from 1 species